rnacentral:rRNA from 1 species
GAUGAACGCUGGCGGCGUGCCUAAUACAUGCAAGUCGAACGCAAUACUUCGGUAUUGAGUGGCGAACGGGUGAGUAAUACAUAAGCAACCUGGCCAUGACAGGGGGAUAACUGACGGAAACGACAGCUAAAACCGCAUAGGUAUAAACGAAGCAUUUUGUUUAUAUUAAAAAUGCUAAGGCAUUGGUGAUGGAUGGGCUUAUGGAGCAUUAGCUAGUUGGUGAGGUAGAGGCUCACCAAGGCGACGAUGCAUAGCCGGCCUGAGAGGGUGAACGGCCACACUGGGACUGAGACACGGCCCAGACUCCUACGGGAGGCAGCAGUAGGGAAUUUUCGGCAAUGGGGGGAACCCUGACCGAGCAACGCCGCGUGAAGGAAGAAGGAAUUCGUUUCGUAAACUUCUGUUAUAAAGGAAGAAAGGGAUGUGUAGGGAAUGAUACAUCUAAGACGGUACUUUAUGAGGAAGCCACGGCUAACUACGUGCCAGCCGCCGCCGUAACAC